rnacentral:rRNA from 1 species
UAUUGGACAAUGGGCGCAAGCCUGAUCCAGCAAUGCCGCGUGUGUGAAGAAGGCCUGCGGGUUGUAAAGCACUUUAAGCAGGGAGGAAGGCUCUAAGGCGAAUACCCUUGGAGAUUGACGUUACCUGCAGAAUAAGCACCGGCUAACUCCGUGCCAGCAGCCGCGGUAAUACGGAGGGUGCGAGCGUUAAUCGGAAUUACUGGGCGUAAAGCGCGCGUAGGCGGUUGACUAAGAUUGCUGUGAAAGCCCCGGGCUUAACCUGGGAACUGCAGUGAGUACUGGUGAGCUAGAGUAUGGUAGAGGGUAGUGGAAUUUCCGGUGUAGCAGUGAAAUGCGUAGAGAUCGGAAGGAACACCAGUGGCGAAGGCGGCUAUUUGGACCAAUACUGACGCUGAGUGCGAAA